rnacentral:rRNA from 1 species
AGAGUUUGAUCAUGGCUCAGGAUGAACGCUAGCGGUAGGCUUAAUACAUGCAAGUCGAGGGGCAGCGAGGUUAGCAAUAACUGUCGGCGACCGGCGUACGGGUGAGUAACACGUACCCAAUCUACCUUAUACUGAAGCAUAGCCCUUGGAAACGAGGAUUAAUACUUCAUAACAUAAUGAAAAGGCAUCUUUUUAUUAUUAAAGCUCAGGCGGUAUAAGAUGAGGGUGCGUCCCAUUAGUUAGUUGGCGGGGUAACGGCCCACCAAGACGAUGAUGGGUAACUGGCGUGAGAGCGCGACCAGUCACACGGGCACUGAGACACGGGCCCGACUCCUACGGGAGGCAGCAGUAGGGAAUAUUGGGCAAUGGAGGCAACUCUGACCCAGCCAUACCGCGUGCAGGAUGAAGGCCCUCUGGGUUGUAAACUGCUUUUAUCAGGGAAGAAACGCUAGGAUUCAUCUUAGCCUGACGGUACCUGAGGAAUAAGCACCGGCUAACUCCGUGCCAGCAGCCGCGGUAAUACGGAGGGUGCAAGCGUUAUCCGGAUUUACUGGGUUUAAAGGGUGCGUAGGCGGAUUGUUAAGUCAGUGGUGAAAGAUUCGAGCUCAACUCGGAAACUGCCAUUGAUACUGAUGAUCUCGAAUACAGUUGAGGUAGGCGGAAUAUUACAUGUAGCGGUGAAAUGCUUAGAUAUGUAAUAGAACACCGAUUGCGAAGGCAGCUUGCUAAACUGUUAUUGACGCUGAGGCACGAAAGCGUGGGGAUCAAACAGGAUUAGAUACCCUAGUAGUCC